rnacentral:rRNA from 1 species
AGGACGAACGCUGGCGGCGUGCUUAACACAUGCAAGUCGAGCGGAAAGGCCCUUCGGGGUACUCGAGCGGCGAACGGGUGAGUAACACGUGAGUAACCUGCCCCAGACUUUGGGAUAACCCUCGGAAACGGGGGCUAAUACCGGAUAUGACACUUCACCGCAUGGUGUGGGUGUGGAAAGUUUUUCGGUUUGGGAUGGGCUCGCGGACUAUCAGCUUGUUGGUGGGGUGAUGGCCUACCAAGGCGACGACGGGUAG